GAGGCACAGGAAGGCUUCUUGAUGCUGCCUCACAGUCUAGCUGUUGAAUAGUCUGCCACGCCAGGAAGGCAUGACUCCAGAAAUGUCCUGGGUCUCUCUAUUAUUUAGCUCUGGAUGUCCUGAGACUCAUUAUGUAGAGCACGCUGGCGUAGAACUACCAGAAACCGGCCUGCUUCUGUCCGUGAGUGCUGGGAUUAAAGGUGCACCACCAUGCCUGUCCUCUUCAAUGUGUUGGAAUCUAACUCUCAUCAGUGAUCGGAUGUUACUCUGCAUGCAAAAGGAGCCAGCACCCACAGUGCACAGUGGCCAGGAGCCAGCACCCACAGUGCACAGUGGCCAGGAGCAGAGGCCAGGGAGGGAAGGCCUGCACGAGGAGUGGCAGGGUCCCCACACCCCCUCAGACCGCUUUCAGAAGUUCUGUCCACAUGACCACGCAAUGGGUAUCCUGUUUCGGGACCCUCCUCACUGGAUACUUCAUCAGAGACAUUUGUUAUCUUUCUUUGGGUAUCCUAGUUGGGAAUAGACAAAG
rnacentral:lncRNA from 1 species